UCGUAACAAGGUUUCCGUAGGUGAACGUGCGGAAAGAUCAUUG
rnacentral:rRNA from 1 species